rnacentral:rRNA from 1 species
AUUGAACGCUGGCGGAAUGCUUUACACAUGCAAGUCGAACGGCAGCAUAGAGAGCUUGCUCUCUGAUGGCGAGUGGCGAACGGGUGAGUAAUAUAUCGGAACGUGCCUAGUAAUGGGGAAUAACUAGCUGAAAGGUUAGCCAAUGCCGCAUACGACCUACGGGUGAAAGCAGGGGAUCUUCGGACCUUGCGUUAUUAGAGCGGCCGAUAUCUGAUUAGCUUGUUGGUGGGGUAAUGGCCUACCAAGGCGACGAUCAGUAGCUGGUCUGAGAGGACGAUCAGCCACACUGGAACUGAGACACGGUCCAGACUCCUACGGGAGGCAGCAGUGGGGAAUUUUGGACAAUGGGGGCAACCCUGAUCCAGCCAUUCCGCGUGAGUGAAGAAGGCCUUCGGGUUGUAAAGCUCUUUCGCAAGAGAAGAAAACUUGCUAUCUAAUAAAUAGUAAGCAUGACGGUAUCUUGACAAGAAGCACCGGCUAACUACGUGCCAGCAGCCGCGGUAAUACGUAGGGUGCAAGCGUUAAUCGGAAUUACUGGGCGUAAAGCGUGCGCAGGCAGUUUUAUAAGUCAGAUGUGAAAUCCCCGAGCUCAACUUGGGAACUGCGUUUGAAACUGUAAGACUAGAGUGUGUCAGAGGGGGGUAGAAUUCCAAGUGUAGCAGUGAAAUGCGUAGAGAUUUGGAGGAAUACCAAUGGCGAAGGCAGCCCCCUGGGAUAACACUGACGCUCAUGCACGAAAGCGUGGGGAGCAAACAGGAUUAGAUACCCUGGUAGUCCACGCCCUAAACGAUGUCUACUAGUUGUUGGUGGAGUAAAAUCCAUGAGUAACGCAGCUAACGCGUGAAGUAGACCGCCUGGGGAGUACGGUCGCAAGAUUAAAACUCAAAUGAAUUGACGGGGGCCCGCACAAGCGGUGGAUUAUGUGGAUUAAUUCGAUGCAACGCGAAAAACCUUACCUGGCCUUGACAUGUACCGAAU